UGUUCCGGGUAGCGCAGUGGUUAACGUACCUGCCUAGUAAGCGGGAGAUCCUGGGUUCGAAUCCCAGUCCGACAU